rnacentral:rRNA from 1 species
UCGUAGUGGCCCGCCGGAAUCAGUCGAAUGAUGCGCGAAUGCGCGCGUUACGCCGGAGCGUGAAAGUCCGGUACGCGUGUUCGUAAAGCAAGUAGCGUUCAUUCGAUGCAUUUCCGGUGGGUAUGCGCCGCGACCGAUGCGAUAAGCUAUCGAAGCGUUCGGAUUGAGGUCGAAAGCCCUUGCCGGUUCUUCGUAACCAGUCCGUUCGUGGCCGUUAGACGUAAGCAUCGAGCGCCCAGUAUAAAAUGAAACGUUGGCAUAUUGCUCAGCCGAUACGGUGGACAGUCGACGGAGUGGUUGGCGCCUGCUCGCAGGCGACCCGCUCGCUCUCGUCGGCGUACGCGAAACCGUGGCUGACGCAAGAACGUUUCGGCGUCAGCGGCGUCCGAGACGGUCACCCGUCCGACCCGUCUUGAAACACGGACCAAGGAGUCUAACGUAUGCGCGAGCUAAUGGGCGGAAAACCCAUAAGCGCAAUAAAAGUGAAAGCCUUCCUCGCGUUGGCGUUAGGUACGAUCCUAGGUGAAUUCAUACGUUCGCCUAGGCGCAGUACCGUCCCGUCUAAAUCGCUCGUCGAUUGGGCGGAGAUUGAGCGUAUACGUUGGGACCCGAAAGAUGGUGAACUAUGCCUGAGCAGAGCGAAGCCAGAGGAAACUCUGG